AUUGAACGCUGGCGGCAUGCCUUACACAUGCAAGUCGAACGGCAGCACGGGAGCAAUCCUGGUGGCGAGUGGCGAACGGGUGAGUAAUACAUCGGAACGUGCCCAGUAGUGGGGGAUAGCCCGGCGAAAGCCGGAUUAAUACCGCAUGAGGCCUGAGGGUGAAAGCGGGGGAUCGCAAGACCUCGCGCUAUUGGAGCGGCCGAUGUCAGAUUAGCUAGUUGGUGGGGUAAAGGCCUACCAAGGCAACGAUCUGUAGUUGGUCUGAGAGGACGACCAGCCACACUGGGACUGAGACACGGCCCAGACUCCUACGGGAGGCAGCAGUGGGGAAUUUUGGACAAUGGGCGCAAGCCUGAUCCAGCAAUGCCGCGUGCAGGAAGAAGGCCUUCGGGUUGUAAACUGCUUUUGUCAGGGAAGAAAUCCUCUGGGUUAAUACCUCGGGGGGAUGACGGUACCUGAAGAAUAAGCACCGGCUAACUACGUGCCAGCCGCCGCCGUAA
rnacentral:rRNA from 1 species